rnacentral:rRNA from 1 species
GAUGAACGCUGGCGGCGUGCCUAAUACAUGCAAGUAGAACGCUGAAGGAGGAGCUUGCUCUUCUGGAUGAGUUGCGAACGGGUGAGUAACGCGUAGGUAACCUGCCUGGUAGCGGGGGAUAACUAUUGGAAACGAUAGCUAAUACCGCAUGACAACAGUUAUUGCAUGAUAACUGUUUAAAAGGGGCAACUGCUCCACUACCAGAUGGACCUGCGUUGUAUUAGCUAGUUGGUGAGGUAACGGCUCACCAAGGCGACGAUACAUAGCCGACCUGAGAGGGGGAACGGCCACACUGGGAAUUGGGCACGGGCCAGACUCCUACGGGAGGCAGCAGUAGGGGAUCUUUGGCAAUGGACGGAAGUCUUACCGAGCAACGCCGGGUGAGAGAAGGAGGUUUUCGGAUCGUAAAGCUCUGUUGGAAGAGAAGAAAGAGUGUGAGAGUAGAAAGUGCACACUGUGACGGUAUCUUAACAGAAAGGGACGGCUAACUACGUG